CGGGAGUGACUUAGCGGCGGACGGGUGAGUAACGCGUGGGUAACCUGCCCCAUACCGGGGGAUAACGGUUAGAAAUGACCGCUAAUACCGCUUAAGCGCGCGAGGCCGCAUGGCCGCGCGCGAAAAACUCCGGUGGUAUGGGAUGGGCCCGCGUCUGAUUAGCUAGUUGGCGGGGUAACGGCCCACCAAGGCGACGAUCAGUAGCCGACCUGAGAGGGUGGCCGGCCACAUUGGGACUGAGACACGGCCCAAACUCCUACGGAAGGCAGCAG
rnacentral:rRNA from 1 species